GGAUUAGAUACCCGGGUAGUCCCAGCUGUAAACUAUGCAAACUCAGUGAUGCAUUGACUUGUGGCCAAUGCAGUGCUGCAGGGAAGCCGUUAAGUUUGCCGCCUGGGAAGUACGUACGCAAGUAUGAAACUUAAAGGAAUUGGCGGGGGAGCACCACAAGGGGUGAAGCCUGCGGUUUAAUUGGACUCAAC
rnacentral:rRNA from 1 species